rnacentral:lncRNA from 1 species
UUUUCUGAAAGCGCACUAUAAUGUGGCCACUUUAGACAGCGCUUUCUCUAGGAAAACAAAGCGCUGUCUUUACCUAUGCCAGCGCCACUUUAGAGGGCGCUUAAAAGCGCUGUUAUAGGCCAAAAUAAGCGUCCUCUUUUCCCUUAUUUGGCGUAGUGUAUAAAGGUUAAAAUCUACCUAAACAUGAAUUAGUACCAAAAUCAAUCAAAUGGAAAAUUAAUAAUCUAUAUCAAGAAUUGAAUUCUAAUCUACGUGAUCAUGAAAAUCACGAUAUAAAAGUCAAAUUGAAUGGAAAUUUAGCCUAAAGCCUAACUAUGGUAAAAUCAAUCAUUAACCAUAUUAAUCUCAACAAAAAUCCACAAAAUGAAACAUCAAGAUUUAGUUACUAAAAUUAAUCAUGGCAUGGUUAGUCACAUGAAUAUUAAUUCUGGAAAAUUAAGAAAAACUAAAUCUAAUCUAAAACUUGAUUAAACCUAAUUUCUAAUUGUUCUAACUAAAUCUAAUUAUGGAUUAACUAACUAAACAACCAAAAUGAAUUAAUUUCUAAUACCUAAAAUCAAGCAUUAAAAUCUACCCAAAUUCUACGAGAUUAAAAAACAGAAGUAAGGUUAAUCACGAAAAAACUAGGAUAAAUUAUGGAUUAACAAGAGAUUAGGGAUUAAAAAUACAAGAUCAUGAACAUAACAUUAAUGGGCCUGGGGGGUGUAAUCUACCAAGAGGUGUAGUGGGCAAAGUUGGCCAAAGGCCCAUCCACUAGCCCAGGAGCAAUAUUCAGCAUGUGAAUGGAUGAUGUUACCAUGAGAAUGGGGUGAGUCAGCAGUGUGGCGAGUUCAUAAACAAAACACGCACGUGAGGCAUAUGUGAAAGAAACUCAGGUCCAUAGAAGAAACUGAAACACAUUCACAUCCAAUUUUCAGAUCUUCCAUACCUUACAACACAGCGGCUAAUCAAUACGCUCUUCGGAAACCAAUGGUUGAUUUGACGAAACUCUGAUCCGUAACCACUUCCUCCGGUAGAGAUCUCAGGCAUGAUUCCAGUUCCGGUUGCUCCGAUCCCGACGGUGGAAGAAAUGGUGGCAAUUGAAGCGAUGAAGUGUUUGCAACAGCGAUUGUCCGUUGAUUAUGCCGCGGUUAUUAAUGAAAAGUGAUAGUUCCCGAUACCUUUUCUUUUCUUCCUUUUUCUGUUCUUCCGUUGUGAGAUUUUGUUGUCAUGCUGUUAGAAUCAUUCUUCAAGAUUUUUCCUUUUUCUCUUCUUCGCCUCUGUUUUUGUUUUUGCGAUUCUGAUUGGGUUGAGUUCAAUGUGAGUUGAACGGAAGUGAAGGUGAGGUUCCAGGUGAAGCCAUGGUUGGUGGUGAAGAAGUUGUUCUUCGGAGUUGAGGGAGUUAAGUUAUGUUAUGGAGAGGUUGGUUAGAGGAGGUGGGUUUUUGCAGGUUAUGUGUUUGUUGCCGGUGGUUGGAAAAUCGUUGAGAAAUAUUAUGAUUAAUCAAGCUUCAUCAAUGGAGAAGAAUAACAUAAGCUGAUAUAGAAAAUAGCAGAAGAAGGAAGAAGAUGAAAUCAAGAAACUGUGAUAUUCCAAUGGAUAGUUUACAUGUGGCAAUGCAUUGUUUUAUAUAUUGCAACCUUAUCUCAUAACUACCAAUCUCAAUAGAGUAAACUUAACUAACUAAUGACCAACUGUAUUAGCUUAAACUAUAGUGAUUAACAUGAUUAAUCUCAACAGCCCCUCUCAAGCUAAGCGUGAUGAAUGUUGAUCAUGCCAAGCUUGGAAAUAAAAUUGUUGAAGGUUGAAGUUGGUAAUGUCUUGG